rnacentral:rRNA from 1 species
GCAGCCGCCGCGGGAAUACAGAGGGUGCGAGCGUUAAUCGGAUUUACUGGGCGUAAAGCGUGCGUAGGCGGCUUUUUAAGUCGGAUGUGAAAUCCAUGAGCUUAACUUAGGAAUUGCAUUCGAUACUGGGAAGCUAGAGUAUGGGAGAGGAUGGUAGAAUUCCAGGUGUAGCGGUGAAAUGCGUAGAGAUCUGGAGGAAUACCGAUGGCGAAGGCAGCCAUCUGGCCUAAUACUGACGCUGAGGUACGAAAGCAUGGGGAGCAAACAGGAUUAGAUACCCCGGUAGUCCCUGUCUCUUAUAU